CAGUGUCGGGCCGCGCUCCAGCUAGAACAACUUGUGGUUUUUCUGCUUGCAUGAAGUGGAGUGAAUCCACAUUCUGGUGGGUAAAAGUAAUGAGACGCUGACGGGGAAAAAGCGAGGACGGAUGAUGCUGGAAGAGGGAGGGAAGUAGGUUAGAAUCAAGUGAUGGAUGCGAAGAGAAACGUUUAGGAGCACGCAGACAAUGAGGUCAAAGACGGGGCACACCGCAUAAACAAAGGAAAAGAGAGAGAUGAAAAAAUAAAAGAGAUGCUGUAGAAGAGAGGAACUACCGCCGAGCCUUCAACAGGACUACAGUGCACAUGGAUUCAAAUAACUUUUAAAGAAGAAAGAAAUACAGUUGGAAUGACAUUAAGUUGAAUGUUUUUAUUUUGGGGAACACAAAAGAAAAUAUGAUGAACAACGUUGGUAACCAAACAACAUCGGACCCCAUUGACUUCCAUUGUAUGGACACAAAACCACUGAGACAUUUCUCAAAAUAUCUUAUCUGGUUCACAGAAGAAAGUGUAAUACUGUACACAGGUUUUAAAUGACAUGAAGGUGAGUAAAUGAUAAUUGUAAUUUUUGAGUGAACUAUUCAUUUAAGCUGACCGGACCCAUUAUUGAACAGGCUAUUGGAAAAAGCAUCUGAGAGUGUGGAAAUGGUGGAGAUGUGUAAACGCUUGUUUUCGCCACUUUCUUUUACUGGAAAAAGAAAGAAGACUUGUUAAAAUAUCCUAUUUCACGCCUUCCUCAGCCAAUAAAAGCAAUAAAUGGUAAUAAGGCAAAAAAGGGUUUAAUCUCAGUGUUAGAAAAAUGUUUAGAAAGAGAAUUAAAAAUAGGUGAACAUGUUAGAGACCAAACUUUUCCAUUCCUUCAUCAUACGUGUUUUGUGCGAGAUAUUGCUGCCGUGGCGUCUGUCUCCUGCUCUACACACUGAGGCCCGAUCACCGUCUCUCUAGGCGCCCUUAAUCAGAGCGUGCAAACACUGGUGAAGGUUCUGUGGCUGUAUCGCUGCGUUUCCAGAUUUUAACAUCACAGAGUGGAAACAUUUAUGAUUAAAAAUAACACUGAACAGGUGAAAAAAGCCACUGAAAUUAGACCGAGCUGGAAUGUCAGUGACAGUCCAGUUAGACAGACAAAUCGAAUGAGCGGGAGAGAGAGACUGUGAACAUAGAGUUUACCAUAUGAACAAAUGCAUAGUCUAUGACCUGUUUGGUUGUGGAUUUCAAUGGGCA